UACGUAGGGGGCGAGCGUUGUCCGGAGUUACUGGGCGUAAAGGGCAUGCAGGCGGUCGGACGCGUUUUGUGUGACAGCGGGUGGCUCAACUACCCCGAGCAUGCGAAAGACGGUCGGACUUGAGGACUCGAGAGGGACACGGAAUUCCGGGUGGAGUGGUGAAAUGCGUAGAGAUCCGGAGGAACACCGAAGGCGAAGGCAGUGUCCUGGCGAGUGACUGACGCUGAGGUGCGAAAGCCAGGGGAGCGAACGGG
rnacentral:rRNA from 1 species